rnacentral:lncRNA from 1 species
AUGAAUGUCCCACCAUAUGAGGCAUCAACUAUCCAUCGAUGUUCUUCUAAUAGACCAUCAUAAAAGUACUAAAUUAGUUGCCAUUUAGGUACAGCAUGGUGUGGAUAUUUAUGAAUGAGGUCUUUAAAUCUUUUUCUAUGUUUCAUUAAAUAUCUCCCCAUCCAUUUAGAAAAAAUGGAUGAUGGCUUUUCUAAUAGGUUUUUUCAAUUGAAAAGAAUUUCUUAAGGAAUUUGCUUUGGAGUUGGUCC